UGGCUCAGAGGUUAAAGCGUCUGCCUGCAAUGUGGAAGACCCGGGUUCGAUCCCUGG
rnacentral:tRNA from 1 species